GGCCCCAUAUACUGGGGGGAUGAGGCCUGGGAGUGGCGGGCAGCGAGUUGGGAGUGAUGGCCACUGGGUUGUGACUGGCCGUUGAUGUUUUCAUAUGGGUCCUGGUACAAAAAGGUUGAGAACCACUGAUCUACUGCAGGGCUGAGCACCUUGUA